UGGGGAAUAUUGCACAAUGGGCGCAAGCCUGAUGCAGCAACGCCGCGUGAGGGACGACGGCCUUCGGGUUGUAAACCUCUUUUGGCAGGGAAGAAGCGAAAGUGACGGUACCUGCAGAAAAAGCACCGGCUAACUACGUGCCAGCAGCCGCGGUGAUACGUAGGGUGCAAGCGUUGUCCGGAAUCAUUGGGCGUAAAGAGCUCGUAGGCGGUUUGUCGCGUCUGCUGUGAAAACCCGAGGCUCAACCUCGGGCCUGCAGUGGGUACGGGCACACUAGAGUGCGGGAGGGGAGAUUGGAAUUCCUGGUGUAGCGGUGAAAUGCGUAGAUAUCAAGAGGAACACCUGAGGCGAAGGCGGGUUGCUGGGCCGACACUGACGCUGAUGCGCGAAAGCCAGG
rnacentral:rRNA from 1 species